AAUGGGACACAGGAAGCCUGUAGUCCAACAGCAAGCAGCUAUCUUGAAACAGAGUGUUGAGGUCAUAAUUGCAGGGUAGUGGAGGGGCCGGCAGAUGGCCAGGUAUCGGUCAUAGGACAUGGCAGUAAGAAGGUAGCAUUCAGAACCCCCUAGGGCAUGGAAGAAGUAGGUCUGAAGGAGGCAACCGGCGAAAGAAAUGGUCUUUUUCUCACUGAGAAGAUUAGCCAGCAUCUUGGGGAUGGUUGCAGCUGUAUACCACAGUUCCAGGAAGGAGAGGAUACUGAUAAAGUGGUACAUAGGUUUGUGUAGAGCUGCAUUCAGUCUUAUGACUAGGAAGAUGAGCAAGUUGCCACAGACUGUGAACAGAGCCCUUGUCCCAUGAGUGCAGGAAGCCAGCGAGGGAGAGGAGACAAAUGAAUGACCAGAUCUCUUAUCAUGGGCCCACCUCUCAGCCCCCAAUUUCUCCAGCUGGCGUGCGCCUGUCACCUACCAGUCACGGAGCUUGAAGAGCUCUCUUUCCUGCCUCAGAUAUAUGCUUAGACUGAGACUGGAUCCAGACACCUUUCCUCUCUCUCAGCAAGUCCAAUCCUCAUAGGAAAAGUCCCCAGAGUCAUCCUGACUGCUUCAGGACUUGAAGGUAUGGGAGUGACCCCAGCCCCAGAGACAAGUGAGACUUCGGCUGGGCUCCCAGGAGGGCACUGGAGAGAGGCCAGUUUGCCUUCUGCAGGAAGGCUCAGAGGGCCUUCCCCAGCACAAGCUACCCCGCCCCCUCUCCACACCGCCUCUGUGACUUCUAUUCGAGCCCAGGAAAACUUCAUACUAUGCCAUCUCUUCAACCAAUUUCUUUCCCCAGUCUUGUGCAUGAUGCGGUCCCACAUUGUUCUUCACUUGAGAAGCCUCUCCAGUAGGAGCUACCUUUUCUGGGGUUGGGGGUGGGGGUUCCUAUGAGAAGAUUUGUGUUAUAGUGAAAUGAAGCUGGACUUUUUCUGGGUUGGAUCCUGUCUGCUACUAGAACUUGAGUGUCUUAAUGAAUGAUAUCUAGAAGAAAGACUAAGCCUGUGUUUGAUAAAGAAGCAGCGGUCACUCAUU